GAACGCUGGCGGCGUGCCUAAUACAUGCAAGUCGAACGAACUCUGGUAUUGAUUGGUGCUUGCAUCAUGAUUUACAUUUGAGUGAGUGGCGAACUGGUGAGUAACACGUGGGAAACCUGCCCAGAAGCGGGGGAUAACACCUGGAAACAGAUGCUAAUACCGCAUAACAACUUGGACCGCAUGGUCCGAGUUUGAAAGAUGGCUUCGGCUAUCACUUUUGGAUGGUCCCGCGGCGUAUUAGCUAGAUGGUGAGGUAACGGCUCACCAUGGCAAUGAUACGUAGCCGACCUGAGAGGGUAAUCGGCCACAUUGGGACUGAGACACGGCCCAAACUCCUACGGGAGGCAGCAGUAGGGAAUCUUCCACAAUGGACGAAAGUCUGAUGGAGCAACGCCGCGUGAGUGAAGAAGGGUUUCGGCUCGUAAAACUCUGUUGUUAAAGAAGAACAUAUCUGAGAGUAACUGUUCAGGUAUUGACGGUAUUUAACCAGAAAGCCACGGCUAACUACGUGCCAGCAGCCGCGGUAAUACGUAGGUGGCAAGCGUUGUCCGGAUUUAUUGGGCGUAAAGCGAGCGCAGGCGGUUUUUUAAGUCUGAUGUGAAAGCCUUCGGCUCAACCGAAGAAGUGCAUCGGAAACUGGGAAACUUGAGUGCAGAAGAGGACAGUGGAACUCCAUGUGUAGCGGUGAAAUGCGUAGAUAUAUGGAAGAACACCAGUGGCGAAGGCGGCUGUCUGGUCUGUAACUGACGCUGAGGCUCGAAAGUAUGGGUAGCAAACAGGAUUAGAUACCCUGGUAGUCCAUACCGUAAACGAUGAAUGCUAAGUGUUGGAGGGUUUCCGCCCUUCAGUGCUGCAGCUAACGCAUUAAGCAUUCCGCCUGGGGAGUACGGCCGCAAGGCUGAAACUCAAAGGAAUUGACGGGGGCCCGCACAAGCGGUGGAGCAUGUGGUUUAAUUCGAAGCUACGCGAAGAACCUUACCAGGUCUUGACAUACUAUGCAAAUCUAAGAGAUUAGACGUUCCCUUCGGGGACAUGGAUACAGGUGGUGCAUGGUUGUCGUCAGCUCGUGUCGUGAGAUGUUGGGUUAAGUCCCGCAACGAGCGCAACCCUUAUUAUCAGUUGCCAGCAUUAAGUUGGGCACUCUGGUGAGACUGCCGGUGACAAACCGGAGGAAGGUGGGGAUGACGUCAAAUCAUCAUGCCCCUUAUGACCUGGGCUACACACGUGCUACAAUGGAUGGUACAACGAGUUGCGAACUCGCGAGAGUAAGCUAAUCUCUUAAAGCCAUUCUCAGUUCGGAUUGUAGGCUGCAACUCGCCUACAUGAAGUCGGAAUCGCUAGUAAUCGCGGAUCAGCAUGCCGCGGUGAAUACGUUCCCGGGCCUUGUACACACCGCCCGUCACACCAUGAGAGUUUGUAACACCCAAAGUCGGUGGGGUAACCUUUUAGGAACCAGCCGCCUAAGGUGGGACAGAUGAUU
rnacentral:rRNA from 1 species